rnacentral:rRNA from 1 species
GAUGAACGCUGGCGGCGUGCCUAAUACAUGCAAGUCGAGCGAACAGACGAGGAGCUUGCUCCUCUGACGUUAGCGGCGGACGGGUGAGUAACACGUGGAUAACCUACCUAUAAGACUGGGAUAACUUCGGGAAACCGGAGCUAAUACCGGAUAAUAUAUUGAACCGCAUGGUUCAAUAGUGAAAGACGGUUUUGCUGUCACUUAUAGAUGGAUCCGCGCCGCAUUAGCUAGUUGGUAAGGUAACGGCUUACCAAGGCAACGAUGCGUAGCCGACCUGAGAGGGUGAUCGGCCACACUGGAACUGAGACACGGUCCAGACUCCUACGGGAGGCAGCAGUAGGGAAUCUUACGCAAUGGGCGAAAGCCUGACGGAGCAAAGCCGCGUGAGUGAUGAAGGUCUUCGGAUCGGAAAACUCUGUUAUUAGGGAAGAACAAAUGUGUAAGUAACUAUGCACGUCUUGACGGUACCUAAUCAGAAAGCCACGGCUAACUACGUG